GCCCGGUCCCUUCGCAACGUGAUGCCGUGAACUCCGUCAGGCCCGGAAGGGAGCAGCGGUAGCGGCGGAAUGUGUGCCGGAGUGUGGCUGGGUCGG
rnacentral:SRP_RNA from 1 species